UCUGGAUACGAGAUGAUUCUGAAAGCAUCCCAUCUGAAUUUGGAAAGUAAUCAGGCUCAGACCUAGUUAGUACUUAGAUGGGAGAUCACCAAGGAAUACCAGGUGCUGUAGGCCAGAG
rnacentral:rRNA from 11 species